CGCGGUAAUUCCAGCUCUGUAAGCGUAUACCAAAGUUGUUGCAGUUAAAACGCUCGUAGUCGGACUUUGGCAAUUCCGGGAGUGUGCGCGUCGUGUGCGCACUUUGCGGGGAUUGCUUUGGUGGUAUUGUGUGUGAUGAAGCAUUUUGAUUAAUGAACGUCGAUCGCAACCACUUUUUACUGUGAGAAAAUCAGAGUGCUCAAAGCAGGCAUUUGUCGUGAAUGAAUUAGCAUGGAAUAAUAGAAUAGGACUUGUUUCUAUUUUGUUGGUUUGUGAGGAAUGAGUAAUGAUUAAGAGGGACAGUUGGGGGCAUUUGUAUUUGGGGGCUAGAGGUGAAAUUCUUAGAUUCUCCAAAGACAAACUGCUGCGAAAGCGUCUGCCAAGGAUGUUUUCAUUGAUCAAGAACGAAAGUAAGGGGAUCGAAGACGAUCAGAUACCGUCGUAGUCUUUACUAUAAACGAUGAGGACUGGGGAUCGGGCGAGGCAUUACGAUGACCCGCCCGGCACCCUUCGAGAAAUCAAAGUGUUUGCUUUCUGGGGGGAGUAUGGUCGCAAGUCUGAAACUUAAAGGAAUUGACGGAAGGGCACCACCAGGUGUGGAGCCUGCGGCUUAAUUUGACUCAACACGGGAAAACUUACCAGGUCAGGACAUAGUGAGGAUUAACAGAUUGAGAGCUCUUUUUUGAUUCUAUGGGUGGUGGU
rnacentral:rRNA from 1 species